rnacentral:rRNA from 1 species
GCCUACCAUGCCAGUUCGAGCGGUAGAGAGAAGCUUGCUUCUCUUGAGAGCGGCGGACGGGUGAGUAAUGCCUAGGAAUCUGCCUGGUAGUGGGGGAUAACGCUCGGAAACGGACGCUAAUACCGCAUACGUCCUACGGGAGAAAGCAGGGGACCUUCGGGCCUUGCGCUAUCAGAUGAGCCUAGGUCGGAUUAGCUAGUUGGUGAGGUAAUGGCUCACCAAGGCGACGAUCCGUAACUGGUCUGAGAGGAUGAUCAGUCACACUGGAACUGAGACACGGUCCAGACUCCUACGGGAGGCAGCAGUGGGGAAUAUUGGACAAUGGGCGAAAGCCUGAUCCAGCCAUGCCGCGUGUGUGAAGAAGGUCUUCGGAUUGUAAAGCACUUUAAGUUGGGAGGAAGGGCAUUAACCUAAUACGUUAGUGUUUUGACGUUACCGACAGAAUAAGCACCGGCUAACUCUGUGCCAGCAGCCGCGGUAAUACAGAGGGUGCAAGCGUUAAUCGGAAUUACUGGGCGUAAAGCGCGCGUAGGUGGUUCGUUAAGUUGGAUGUGAAAUCCCCGGGCUCAACCUGGGAACUGCAUUCAAAACUGUCGAGCUAGAGUAUGGUAGAGGGUGGUGGAAUUUCCUGUGUAGCGGUGAAAUGCGUAGAUAUAGGAAGGAACACCAGUGGCGAAGGCGACCACCUGGACUGAUACUGACACUGAGGUGCGAAAGCGUGGGGAGCAAACAGGAUUAGAUACCCUGGUAGUCCACGCCGUAAACGAUGUCAACUAGCCGUUGGGAGCCUUGAGCUCUUAGUGGCGCAGCUAACGCAUUAAGUUGACCGCCUGGGGAGUACGGCCGCAAGGUAAAACUCAAAUGAAUUGACGGGGGCCCGCACAGCGGUGGAGCAUGUGGUUUAAUUC